GGGGAAGACGUUGCACUCGUCUCAGUGAGAGAUGCUUCUAGUUCCAGGAGGCGGACCUCAAGGAUGGAGAGAAGGCAGAUGUUUUGAGAU
ensembl:miRNA